UAGUCCACGCCCUAAACGAUGAUUGCUAAACAUCGGAAAAAUAAUUAUUUUCGGUGUUGAAGUUAACGCAUUAAGCAAUCCGCCUGAGUAGUACGGUCGCAAGACUAAAACUCAAAGGAAUUGACGGGGACCCGCACAAGCGGUGGAGCAUGUGGUUUAAUUCGAUAAUCCGCGAAAAACCUUACCAGCUCUUGACAUGGAAGUCGCGCUUUUAAGAGAUUAAAAGCUUCGGUUCGGCCGGACUUCGCACAGGUGGUGCAUGGCUGUCGUCAGCUCGUGUCGUGAGAUGUUGGGUUAAGUCCUUUAACGGGCGCAACCCCUAUUUUUAGUUGCUAACAGGUAAAGCUGAGAACUUUGGAGAGACUGCCAGUGACAAACCGGAGGAAGGUAAGGAUGACGUCAAGUCAGCAUGCCCCUUACGCUCUGGGCUACACACGUGCUACAAUGGUCGUGACAAAGAGUUGCUAGUCUGCGAAGGCAAGCCAAUCUCAUAAACGCGGCCUUAGUUCGGAUUGCAGG
rnacentral:rRNA from 1 species